UACAUGUGGGGCAAGCGUUGUUCGGAAUUACUGGGCGUAAAGGGUGCGUAGGUGGUUUGGUAAGUCAGUGGUGAAAUCGUCCGGCCCAACCGGACAGCUGCCAAUGAUACUGCCGAACUCGAGUGCGUGAGGGGUGGGGGGAACGAGCAGUGUAGCGGUGAAAUGCGUAGAUAUUGCUCGGAAGGCCAAAGCCGAAGGGACCCCACUGGUACGUAACUGACACUGAGGCACGAAAGCGUGGGGAGCAAACAGG
rnacentral:rRNA from 1 species